UGAGGAAUAUUGGUCAAUGGACGCAAGUCUGAACCAGCCAAGUAGCGUGCAGGAUGACGGCCCUAUGGGUUGUAAACUGCUUUUAUAUGGGGAUAAAGUGGGGAACGUGUUCCCUUUUGCAGGUACCAUAUGAAUAAGGACCGGCUAAUUCCGUGCCAGCAGCCGCGGUAAUACGGAAGGUUCGGGCGUUAUCCGGAUUUAUUGGGUUUAAAGGGAGCGUAGGCCGUUUGGUAAGCGUGUUGUGAAAUGUAGGAGCUCAACUUCUAGAUUGCAGCGCGAACUGUCAGACUUGAGGGCGAAGAACGUAGGCGGAAUUCAUGGUGUAGCGGUGAAAUGCUUAGAUAUCAUGAAGAACUCCGAGUGCGAAGGCAGCUUACGGGAGCGCAACUGACGCUGAAGCUCGAAGGUGCGGGUAUCGAACAGG
rnacentral:rRNA from 1 species